UAGGGAAUCUUCGGCAAUGGGGGGAACCCUGUCCGAGCAACGCCGCGUGAGUGAAGAAGGUUUUCGGAUCGUAAAGCUCUGUUGUUAAGGAAGAACGAGUGUGAGAAUGGAAAGUUCAUACUGUGACGGUACUUAACCAGAAAGGGACGGCUAACUACGUGCCAGCAGCCGCGGUAAUACGUAGGUCCCGAGCGUUGUCCGGAUUUAUUGGGCGUAAAGCGAGCGCAGGCGGUUAGAUAAGUCUGAAGUUAAAGGCAGUGGCUCAACCAUUGUAGGCUUUGGAAACUGUGUAACGUGAGUGCAGAAGGGGAGAGUGGAAUUCCAUGUGUAGCGGUGAAAUGCGUAGAUAUAUGGAGGAACGCCGGUGGCGAAAGCGGCUCUCUGGUCUGUAACUGACGCUGAGGCUCGAAAGCGUGGGGAGCGAACAGG
rnacentral:rRNA from 1 species